UAUCUCCUCUAUCUUCGGCUCUCUCCCAUCUCCCAUCAUCCUCCCCGGCCGCGAUCAAGCCUGCAAUAUCGUCGCGCCUGCCUUCGUCGCUCACAUCGUUCCUCGCCGUCCGCCGUUCGCAAUGCCCCUUGUGGCCGGAUGGUGCAUCAUCUACAAAGUGUAGCGCUCUCAAGUAUAUCAGGUGCACUUACUUGUUAAAUCAACGUUGGGGAACGAUAACUUAUGUCGCAAUUCCUAGAGUCCAACUAGAUUUUUUUGUUUUGUUUUUAUUUAUUCCUUGUAUUUUUAUGUUAAAAUUAAAAUUUUAUACCAAGAAUGAGCCAUAUUUGAAUUUAUUACUGCAUACUUAUUGUACGGGGUGUCCUGCCGGCAUGCUAGCAUACCGACAGAACUCCCCAUAAGCAAAAUCGUCCUGCAGCUAAGUCGGUUAAUAAAGGCGAUUGAGUCUUACUGGCGCAUUUCCAUACAUACUACCGGCAUAAACAAUUAGCCACGUGAUCAAAGAUCACCAAGAGGUCACCAUUAGACAAGUCACUGUCCUACGAGGUAGAGGCUACUCGGCCGUACAAGGCAGUUUGUCUAUAUAAGGAAGACCACAUUUAUUGAUACAAGAUCCCAGUCAGCUACCUCAACAGAAGCUCCCAAUCCCACAGUCAGUUGUUCCCACUCCACACCCGGAACAAUUGACGCUAGAAGGAGGGGACCUCAUCCCUUUUAACGUUUCAUCAGCUAAUAUGAAUCUCUCAACGAAGGAAAACAGUAAGAAUUCGAAGAAAAUUCAAGAUAAAAUAACAACUACGUAGUCAACAGGAAGUAUGAAACCGCAAUCAGCAAUUACAAUUCCAACAGCUUUCAUGCCAUUAACGAAACCGGUAAUAAAUCCAGUAAUAAGUGGCAUCCCGCAGUCGGCUCCAGAGGGAGUAACUGUGGAGGAUGGUGAUGAAGAAGCCGGACAUGACAGUCUUGUCAGCAAGCAGCUCAGCACACCUAUCGCGCAAACAUUGACAAAUUAAUUGUCUCCCCUGUCGAAAAUAUUCAUAGGCCAACAGUUAAAAACGCUAUCAACUGUCACGGCGAAGUUUUCUAGGCUAACACCUACUCAAAUCUCAGGCAGAAGUGGUAGCAUCCAUGAGACAGGACUCGUAGCACCUCAUGUGCCAGUUAAAAAUCUUUUGUCAUCCAUUAACCAGGAAAACACAACACAAAAAAGAAAACACCCCUGAAGGAAAUAUUUCCUUUGCCCAAGGUGCAAUUUCUCCAAUACCAAAGGUUCAGAUUAAUUACGAACAAUUAAUCCAGUGAGAUCAAGUGAUCGGAAUAGCUGGCUGGAGUAAUGCUUCCGAUCAGUGAGUUUUAAUCCUAAUUAGGCUCACAACUUACUCUUGACUGAACCUAUAAGGUCACACCAUUGGCAUGUAACAGAUCAUCGGAUUAAAUUAAUCGGAAAUUCAUUUAAUAGCUUUUCGGGAAAUUAGUUCGGAAAACAUAAUUAUACGAUUUAACAUUGGAUCGUAAAAUUGUAUAUCGUGUUGCGUAUAUUUGUAAGCUAGGAGGAAUGAAAUAAAUCAUAUCCUACGACAUUGGAUCGUCAAAUA